UACGUAGGGAGCAAGCGUUGUCCGGAAUCAUUGGGCGUAAAGCGCGCGUAGGUGGCCUCAUAAGUCCGCUGUCGAAAGUCAAAAGGCUCAACCGUUUGAAAGCCGGUGGAUACUGUGAGGCUAGAGUACGGAAGAGGCGAGUGGAAUUCCUGGUGUAGCGGUGGAAUGCGCAGAUAUCAGGAGGAACACCAAUUGCGAAGGCAGCUCGCUGGAACGUUACUGACGCUGAGACGCGAAAAGCGUGGGGAGCAAACAGG
rnacentral:rRNA from 1 species